CUCAUUGAGUUUAAGAAUACAAUUAAGGGGAGGAAAAGAAACUUAAAAGCAUUCCCCUAGAAACAAUGAGAAAACAAAGAAGAGACUAGCAUGAAAAUAGGGUGGAAGCAUAACCUUAAUUGUAAUGUGUAGAUUUAGGUUGUUUUGUUUGAAUACAACCCUAAUCGGUUGAUAAAUUUUUUCCAAGGCUAAAUAUGAGUAAGAGACAAAUAGUGAACUCAUUUCCCAUUGCCCC
rnacentral:ncRNA from 1 species